GGACAGCCUGGAUUAGAAAGAAUUACUCAGUCCCUCUGUCUGUCUCAGGUGUCCAGACAUAGCUGUUCCGUUCUAUGCACGGUACAUUCUGAGGGGACUUUUUUGGUCUGACUUCUCAUUGCCUGCAGUGCAGCGUAAUCAGUGCAUAAAAUCCACACCUUCCUUACAACCCAAGCAGAAGAAAGCAGCCCAACUCUGGCCUGACCAUGUUCUGGAAGCACAACAGCUAGUGUGUUAGAAUGAUGGGGAGAACAGGGAGCUGGUGUAAGGGUGACAGUGGGCUCCAUUUCAGACUCGGUCAUUGCCUCGCUGUGUGACAUUUGACAGGUGGCUUGCCCUCUCUGGAUGUUAGUAUUGUCAGGAGCUUUGACUUGCUCCCGAUGUCUCCUUCAGCUCUAAGUUCCUUGAGGCUAUGUUUUCUCCCACGUGGAUGGCUUCAUGAACAGGAAAUCAUUGACAACAGCCCCUAUAGCACAAACCCAAGCAGAAAUUCCUAAUACAUGCAACAACUGCAGAAGCACCAUCCCUGGGGAAAUGAGGGCCGUGUGCACAGAGGGUUGGAUCUGAUGUUCCCAGUGGCCUUCCUGGGACCCAUGGGAGUAUCGCUUUCAAUGUGAGGCACUGUCAUUAAAAGCAGCAUUUCCUUGUCCUGCAGAGACAGCUGGAUGCUGGGAGAAAGGCUUUGAUGUCUGCAUCUGGAGUCUGUCUCUGAUUUUACUGCCUCUGAGCUGUGUGUCCUUGGCAUAUCUUUUAACCUCUCUGAGCCUUGGUUUUCUUAUGCUUAUGGGUAGAAGUGAUACUAUGACUACCAGGUGUUGGAGGACCGUGAAAACUCUAAGGAAGUCAUCCAGCGGUGGGACAUGGCUCUCUGAGAAUGCCAGUUUUCUCUCUAAAGAAAAAUUGUUCCUGCCAGCCAUGAGGACACACACCAUUUGAUCCCAGCACUCGGAGGAGGCAGAGGCGGGUGGAUCUCUGUGAGGUCAAGGCCAGCUUGGUCUACAAAAAGAGUUCCAGGAUAGCUAGUACUUACCAAAGAAACCCUGUCUUGAUCCCUAUCCCACCCUACCCCCUC
rnacentral:lncRNA from 1 species